AUUGAACGCUGGCGGCAUGCCUUACACAUGCAAGUCGAACGGCAGCAUGAUCUAGCUUGCUAGAUUGAUGGCGAGUGGCGAACGGGUGAGUAAUACAUCGGAACGUGCCCUGUAGUGGGGGAUAACUAGUCGAAAGAUUAGCUAAUACCGCAUACGACCUGAGGGUGAAAGUGGGGGACCGCAAGGCCUCAUGCUCUAGGAGCGGCCGAUGUCUGAUUAGCUAGUUGGUGAGGUAAAGGCUCACCAAGGCGACGAUCAGUAGCUGGUCUGAGAGGACGAUCAGCCACACUGGGACUGAGACACGGCCCAGACUCCUACGGGAGGCAGCAGUGGGGAAUUUUGGACAAUGGGCGAAAGCCUGAUCCAGCAAUGCCGCGUGUGAGAAGAAGGCCUUCGGGUUGUAAAGCACUUUUGUCCGGAAAGAAAUGGCUCUGGUUAAUACCUGGGGUCGAUGACGGUACCGGAAGAAUAAGGACCGGCUAACUACGUG
rnacentral:rRNA from 1 species